GAGUUUGAUCCUGGCUCAGGAUGAACGCUAGCGGCAGGCCUAAUACAUGCAAGUCGAACGCUCAGUAGCAAUACUGGGAGUGGCGCACGGGUGCGUAACGCGUACACAAUCUACCUCUAAGCGGGGGACACCUCCUGGAAACGGGAUUAAUACCGCAUAAUAUGCCGAAGUCGCAUGACUUUGGUAUUAAAGCAGCAAUGCACUUAGAGAUGAGUGUGCGUCCCAUUAGGUAGUUGGUGAGGUAACGGCUCACCAAGCCUAUGAUGGGUAGCCGGUCUGAGAGGAUGGUCGGCCACACGGGCACUGAGACACGGGCCCGACUCCUACGGGAGGCAGCAGUAAGGAAUAUUGGUCAAUGGUGGAAACACUGAACCAGCCAUGCCGCGUGGAGGAAUAAGGUCCUACGGAUUGUAAACUCCUUUUGACGAGGAAGAAAAUGUUAGAUUUAUCUAAUUUUGACGGUACUCGUAGAAUAAGCACCGGCUAACUCCGUG
rnacentral:rRNA from 1 species